AGUGAACGCUGGCGGUAGGCCUAACACAUGCAAGUCGAACGGCAGCACAGUAAGAGCUUGCUCUUACGGGUGGCGAGUGGCGGACGGGUGAGGAAUACAUCGGAAUCUACUUUUUCGUGGGGGAUAACGUAGGGAAACUUACGCUAAUACCGCAUACGACCUACGGGUGAAAGCAGGGGAUCUUCGGACCUUGCGCGAUUGAAUGAGCCGAUGUCGGAUUAGCUAGUUGGCGGGGUAAAGGCCCACCAAGGCGACGAUCCGUAGCUGGUCUGAGAGGAUGAUCAGCCACACUGGAACUGAGACACGGUCCAGACUCCUACGGGAGGCAGCAGUGGGGAAUAUUGGACAAAGGACGCAAGCCUGAUCCAGCCAUACCGCGUGGGUGAAGAAGGCCUUCGGGUUGUAAAGCCCUUUUGUUGGGAAAGAAAAGCAGCAGGUUAAUACCCCGCUGUUCUGACGGUACCCAAAGAAUAAGCACCGGCUAACUUCGUG
rnacentral:rRNA from 1 species